UACGUAGGGGGCGAGCGUUGUCCGAAGUUACUGGGCGUAAAGAGCGUGUAGGCGGCCAGACAGGUCCGUUGUGAAAACUCGAGGCUCAACCUCGAGAUGUCGAUGGAAACCGUCUGGCUAGAGUCCGGAAGAGGAGUGUGGAAUUCCUGGUGUAGCGGUGAAAUGCGUAGAUAUCUGGAGGAACACCGGUGGCGAAGGCGGU
rnacentral:rRNA from 1 species